GUUUGAUCCUGGCUCAGAGCGAACGUUAGCGGCGGGGCUUAACACAUGCAAGUCGAGCGAGAAAGGGGCUUCGGCCCUGAGUACAGCGGCGGACGGGUGAAUAACACGUAGGUAACCUUCCUUUCAGCGGGGGACAACGGUCCGAAAGGACCGCUAAUACCGCAUACGUUCCCUAGGACCUCGGUCCUGGGGAGGAAAGGCCCGCAAGGGCCACUGGAUGAGGGGCCUGCGUAGCAUCAGCUAGUUGGUGGGGUAAUGGCCUACCAAGGCGAAGACGCUUAGCUGGUCUGAGAGGAUGAUCAGCCACACUGGGACUGAGACACGGCCCAGACUCCUACGGGAGGCAGCAGUGGGGAAUAUUGGACAAUGGGCGCAAGCCUGAUCCAGCCACGCCGCGUGAGUGAUGAAGGCCUCGGUCGUAAG
rnacentral:rRNA from 1 species